AGCUCUGGAGGCUGGGAUCAAGGCUCUGGAAGAUUUGGAUUUGACAGAGAGGCUGAGAGAACAUUGUCCAGAAGGAUUUUCAAAGUUCUGCGCUAAAUAAAGUAUGUCAUGCUUGUCAUCUGGGCCAACUCAAGAACUGUGAGCAGAGAUGCAGGAAAAGUUGCAAAUGGUAUAUGUGUCAUUCCUGGAACUGGUUUGAAGCAGUCUUAAGUCCAUUGACUGAGAUUAAAGAAUGAGUGAUCUCCUCAGUGCAAAAUCAGGAUAGCCUUGGUAGUCAAUGGUAG